rnacentral:rRNA from 1 species
UAAUACGUAGGAGGCUAACGUUAUCCGGAUUUACUGGGCGUAAAGCGCGUGUAGGCGGUUCGGUAAGUUGGACGUGAAAGCUCCCGGCUCAACUGGGAGAGGUCGUUCAAUACUGUCGGACUAGAGGAUGGUAGAGGGAGGUGGAAUUCCGGGUGUAGUGGUGAAAUGCGCAGAUAUCCGGAGGAACACCAGUGGCGAAGGCGGCCUCCUGGACCACUCCUGACGCUCAGACGCGAAAGCUAGGGUAGCGAACGGGAUUAGAGACCCCGGUAGUCCUAGCCGUAAACGAUGUGAACUUGGCGUCGGUGGGAUUAAAUCCAUCGGUGUCGUAGCUAACGCGAUAAGUUCACCGCCUGAGGACUACGGCCGCAAGGUUA